UUUAGAUGUGAGAUGGUAUCAGACUUGAGUUUUUUUAAAAGUCUUUUCAGUCUACUAGUGUAUGGUAGGCAUUAGUCGACUAAGAUUUCUUAAGCCGAUUAGUCAUAUUUUAUGCUUGUUCAUACUGUAUGACUUAUUUCCGAGAAAGUUAUAAGCACAUAUCUGGUAAACACAAAAUUGAAAGUGGUGUUUUUGCAUGAUUCUUUGUGUAAAAAUUCAGAUU